GGCUGGUCCGAUGGUAGUGGGUUAUCAGAACUUAUUAACAUUAGUGUCACUAAAGUUGGUGACAAUCCCCCACUGCUAAAUUUGACUGGCUUUUA
rnacentral:Y_RNA from 1 species